rnacentral:rRNA from 1 species
GGGUUAAUGGCUCACCAAGGCGACGAUCCGUAACUGGUCUGAGAGGAUGAUCAGUCACACUGGAACUGAGACACGGUCCAGACUCCUACGGGAGGCAGCAGUGGGGAAUAUUGGACAAUGGGCGAAAGCCUGAUCCAGCCAUGCCGCGUGUGUGAAGAAGGUCUUCGGAUUGUAAAGCACUUUAAGUUGGGAGGAAGGGCAGUAAGCUAAUACCUUGCUGUUUUGACGUUACCGACAGAAUAAGCACCGGCUAACUCUGUGCCAGCAGCCGCGGUAAUACAGAG